rnacentral:rRNA from 1 species
UAAGGAAUAUUGGUCAAUGGACGCAAGUCUGAACCAGCCAUGCCGCGUGAAGGAUGAAGGUCCUCUGGAUUGUAAACUUCUUUUAUCUGGGACGAAAACGGGAUUUUUAUCUCAAUUGACGGUACCAGAGGAAUAAGCACCAGCUAACUCCGUGCCAGCAGCCGCGGUAAUACGGAGGGUGCGAGCGUUAUCCGGAAUUAUUGGGUUUAAAGGGUGCGUAGGCGGACUAAUAAGUCAGUGGUGAAAGCCUGCAGCUUAACUGCAGAAUGGCCAUUGAUACUGUUAGUCUUGAGUACAGUUGAGGUAGGCGGAAUGUGUCAUGUAGCGGUGAAAUGCUUAGAUAUGACACAGAACACCGAUUGCGAAGGCAGCUUGCUAAGCUGUAACUGACGCUGAGGCACGAAAGCGUGGGGAGCAAACA